UACGUAGGGUGCGAGCGUUGUCCGGAAUUAUUGGGCGUAAAGAGCUCGUAGGCGGUGUGUCACGUCGUUCGUGAAAACCUGCAGCUUAACUGUGGGCGUGCGGUCGAUACGGGCAUCACUGGAGUUCGGCAGGGGAGACUGGAAUUCCUGGUGUAGCGGUGAAAUGCGCAGAUAUCAGGAGGAACACCGGUGGCGAAGGCGGGUCUCUGGGCCGAUGACUGACGCUGGAGGAGCGAAAGCCGUGGGGAGCAAACAGG
rnacentral:rRNA from 1 species